ensembl:snRNA U6 U6 spliceosomal RNA
AUGUUGUCUUGGGCAAUAUAUAUACUAAAAUUGGAAUGAUACAGAUAAGAUUAGAAUGGCCCCUCACGUGAUGACAUGAGAAUUUGUGAUGCAUUCCAUUUUUAA